rnacentral:rRNA from 1 species
GACAGAGGUGCCGAGCGUUAGGCGGAAUCACUGGGCUUAAAGCGUGUGUAGGCGGCGGCGUAAGUACCUUGUGAAAUCCCACGGCUCAACCGUGGAACUGCUCGGUAUACUGCGUCGCUUGAGCCAGCUAGGGGCGACCGGAACAAACGGUGGAGCGGUGAAAUGCGUAGAGAUCGGAAAGAACACCAAGGGCGAAGGCACUCUGCUGGGCCGACACUGACACUGAGAGACGAGAGCUAGGGGAGCGAAUGGG